GCCUUAUUGCGAUACAAUUCACAUAUUGAAAAAUUCACCCUUUUGAAGUGUAUAAAUCUUUGGUUUUUAGUAUAUUCACACUUUUACAACUAUUACCACUAUCUAAUUUCAGAAUAUUUUCAUUACUCUGGGAAAACCUGAGCCCAUUAGCAGUCUUUCCCCAUUUAUCCCCUUUCUGUAGCCCUUGGCAGCACUAACCUAGUUUCUGUGUCUAUUGAUCUGUUGAUGCUGACUAUUUCAUAUAAAUGGAAUCAUAGAAUAUGAAUGGCUUCUUUCACCUAGCAUAAUGUUUUCUGGGUUGAUCCAUACUGUAGGGUGUAUAAGUACUUCAUUCCUUUUAAUUACCUAAUAAUAUUCCAUUGCUUAGAUAUACCAUACUUUGUUCAUCCAUUUAUCAGUUGACUGAUGUUUUGGCAAUUUCCAUUUUUUGGCUAUUGUGAAAAAUGUGAAGAAUAUUUCUGUGCAGAAUUUUCAGUUCUCUUGGGUAUAUGCCUAGGAAUGAAAUUGCUGAGUCAUAUUUAGUCUAUGUUUAACAUUUGUAACAACUGCACAUUUCCCAAAGUGGCUGGAACAUUUUAUAAUCUCACCAACAAUAUACCAGUUCCAAUUUCUCCACAUCCUCAACAACACUUUCAUUUUGUUGUGGUGUCUUUGAAGCACAGAUACUUUUAAUUCUGAUGAUAUCUUGCUCAUCCAUUUUUUUUUUUUGUAGUUUGUGCUUUUGGUGUCCUGAGAACCAUGGCCUAAUACAAAGACACACAAAUUUUCUUCUAAAUGUAAGGUUUUAUCUCUUACAUUUAGGUCGUUGAUUCAUUUUGGGUUAAUUUUUACAUAUGGUAUGAGGAAAGGUUCCAAUCUUAUUCCUUUCCAUGUGCAUAUACUGUUG
rnacentral:lncRNA from 1 species